CUGCCAUUGAAGGUGGCUUCUAAGAAGUUUCCCCCCUGAUUCAUUGGUCCCUUUGAAAUGGAUCAUGUCAUUAACCCCUCUGCUGUGCACCUGAAACUCCCAAACUCUCGCAAGAUCCAACCUACCUUCCGUGUUUCCCAGAUCAAACCUGUCAAUUCCAGUCUCCUCCUGUCUCCUCCUGCAGCAGCUCCUCCACCCCCUCGGCUCAUCGAUGACCAUCCUGCCGAUACCGUUCGGGCUGGCUUCUGGACGUGCGCCGUCGGGGUCACGGCUGGCAGUACCUGAUGGACUGGGAAGGAUACGGGCCUGAGGAGCACUGCUCGGUUCCCUGCCGUCAUAUUCUGGACCCCUCCGUGCAUUCUAUACCUCACACCCAGAUAAGUCUGGUCGGGCGCCCAAAGGUGCCCUCUACUGCUCAUCCUGUGUCUCCCUAACCUGCCGACACUCCCCCAGUGCUCUCUCCCUCUUUCUCUGUGUGAUUGUGUGGGCAGAGACAGGUGUGCUGGAGGCAGAGCAGAACCCCACCAGCUGCAACCUGUUCCAUAAUUAAGACCUCUACAAAUACUCUGCCCUGCCACUUCUACGCUGCCAGAUCGUAACCUCUGCUCAUUCUGUCCCCUCUGACUCUGGUCCCUGUCUCCAGUCCCAUGUCUCGUCAGUCCUGCUACCCUGUCCUGGACCCCCCACUCUACUGCUUCCUUGGAUUCCUCUCCGGACCUGCUUACCCAGCCCCAUCUCCCCUCGCUCUAGCCUCAGUACCUGGCUCCCUGCAACCCGACCGAGCUUUCCCUGCCUGCGCCUCAUCUUCACCCUGUUUUUCAAUAAAUACAAUACACCUUAUCCUGGUCUUAUUCUGGUCUGGUCUUGGGUUCACCUGCUCCGCUCCGCAUAACACUAGGAAAGCUGUUCUCAUGGAUAUCAUGGUUCAGAUAGAUGCUAUCAGGUUACAGGUCAUGACAGGUACGCUGUUGUGGAAUGAAACUGUUCCCCCAAUAAAACCUAGAAACUUCCUGCCAUCUCUUAACUUUCCUCUCUGCUCUGCUGUUCAAAGGUCUCAGAGUAAACAUUUUUCAGCAUUAAAGAUGAAGAUCAGGACCACAUGGGGCCUGGCUACGUAGUGGAGCACCGUUCAUGCCAUGCCUCAAUUCUCCCACCCUGCCUCCUCAAAAUCAUCUCCUCUUUCAGACGGCCAG
rnacentral:lncRNA from 1 species